GUAGAUGUUUCGGUGUGUCGGUGAUCUUGUUUGAGUGCUAACGCAUGAGAGAUUGCCGCCGGUAGAGACGCUCGAUGUGGCGCAAUUACAGCUUUGAAGAACCAAAGCUACUGCGAAACGCCCGCCUGGGC
rfam:Candidatus Sulfuricurvum sp. RIFRC-1, complete genome.